UACGUAGGCAGCAAGCGUUGUUCGGAGUUACUGGGCGUAAAGGGUGCGUAGGUGGCUCUAUAAGUGUGGUGUGAAAUCUCCCGGCUUAACUGGGAGGGUGCGCCGUAGACUGUGGGGCUAGAGUGUGGGGAGAGGAAAGUGGAAUUCCUGGUGUAGCGGUGAAAUGCGUAGAUAUCAGGAGGAACACCGGUGGUGUAAACGGCUUUCUGGACCAUAAACUGAC
rnacentral:rRNA from 1 species